UACGGAGGGUGCGAGCGUUGUCCGGAAUUACUGGGCGUAAAGGGCUCGUAGGCGGCCAACUAAGUCAGACGUGAAAUCCCUCGGCUUAACCGGGGAACUGCAUCUGAUACUGGAUGGCUUGAGUUCGGGAGAGGGAUGUGGAAUUCCAGGUGUAGCGGUGAAAUGCGUAGAUAUCUGGAGGAACACCGGUGGCGAAGGCGGCAUCCUGGACCGACACUGACGCUGAGGAGCGAAAGCCAGGGGAGCAAACGGG
rnacentral:rRNA from 1 species